rnacentral:rRNA from 1 species
CAAUAGCGUAUAUUUAAGUUGUUGCAGUUAAAAAGCUCGUAGUUGGAUUUCGGAUGGGACUUGCCGGUCCGUCGUUUCGAUGUGCACUGGCCAGUCCUAUCUUGUUGUCGGGGACUAGCUCCUGGGCUUCACUGUCCGGGACUAGGAGCUGACGAGGUUACUUUGAGUAAAUUAGAGUGUUCAAAGCAAGCCUACGCUCUGAAUACAUUAGCAUGGAAUAACACGAUAGGACUCUGGCUUAUCUUGUUGGUCUGUGAGACCAGAGUAAUGAUUAAGAGGGACAGUCGGGGGCAUUCGUAUUUCAUUGUCAGAGGUGAAAUUCUUGGAUUUAUGAAAGACGAGCUUCUGCGAAAGCAUUUGUCAAGGAUGUUUNCAUUAA